CCCUUAGAUGUCCGGGGCCGCACGCGCGCUACAAUGGAUGAAUCAACGCGUCAUCCUGGCCCGAAAGGGUUGGGGAACCGCUGAACCUCAUCCGUGGUUGGGAUUGGGGUUUGUAAUUAUUCCCCAUGAACUAGGAAUUCCCAGUAAGCGCGAGUCAUAAGCUCGCGUUGAUUACGUCCCUGCCCUUUGUACACACCGCCCGUCGCUACUACCGAUUGGAUGGUUUAGUGAGAUCCUCGGAUUGGUCACGGCACGGUGGCAACACCGCGUCGGUGUGCCGAGAAGACGAUCAAACUUGAUCAUCUAGAGGAAGUAAAAGUCGUAACA
rnacentral:rRNA from 1 species